CCGCUCGAGGAAGAGGCUGCGGCCCAUCAGGUAGUUGGCGGGGUAACGGCCCACCAAGCCGACGACGGGUAGGGGGUCUGAGAGGAUGAUCCCCCACACUGGGACUGAGACACGGCCCAGACUCCUACGGGAGGCAGCAGUGAGGGAUAUUGCACAAUGGGGGCAACCCUGAUGCAGCGACGCCGCGUGGGUGAUGAAGGUCUUCGGAUCGUAAAACCCUUUUCCCCGUGACGAGACAGGACGGUAGCGGGGGAAUAAGCCUCGGCUAACUACGUGCCAGCAGCCGCGGUAAAACGUAGGAGGCGAGCGUUAUCCGGAGUUACUGGGCGUAAAGCGCGCGCAGGCGGUUGAGUAAGUGACUUGUGAAAAUGCCCGGCUAAACUGGGCGAGGUCAGGUCAGACUGCUUGGCUGGAGGGUGGUAGAGGAGCGCGGAAUUCGGGGUGUAGCGGUGAAAUGUGUAGAGAUCCCGAGGAACACCAGUGGUGCAAACGGCGCUCUGGGCCUCUACUGACGCUGAGGCGCGAAAGCGUGGGGAGCGAACGGGAUUAGAG
rnacentral:rRNA from 1 species